CAUAGUGGACACUAAAAAUGUUUAUUUAUUUCUCUCCUCCAUAAUGCCCUCUCUUGUAGGAAAAAUAGACUAUAUGCUUUUUGUGCAUUAGAAAAAUACAUGCUCUAAGUAUUUAUGUUCUCUUCAUACUGUUAACUUAAAAAGAAACCUUCUGCAUCUAAAGGAAUGGGGUGAUGUUAUUUUCAGAAAAAAUAGAAUAUUAUUUCCAAUGUCAAAGCCGAGUCGGCCACUGGCUUUGAUUUUCUAAAAAAACUACUUCUCUACAUACGUCUCUCUUCAAAGGAAAAAAAAAAAAUGAAGGAGUACACAUUUCUAUAAGCCUUCAAAUUUGUGUGGUAUUGCUUUGUCUUCUUGAGCCCUUAGAGCUUGCAAAACAAAACAAAAGCCCCAUCCUUAUUUUUUCUGAAAAGCAUACAUAUUUUUCCAGGAGAUAUUUGUGCUGCUUUCAUUAUGUUCUUUUCAGUCAAUUUUUCUUUCUUUUUUUUUUUUUAAAACUUAAGUGCUGUAAGAGUCAAAGGACAUAGGUCACAUUCAGUGCAACCAGGAGCUAAUGUUUGAGCGCCCCGGAAGUAACUUCUGUGAGCAGGAAGAGACCGCACCAUGGGCGGGACUCUAGCCAUAUUGAGGGAGCUUCCUAAUGGAAGACAUCUCCCACCCUGAUUGGCUGUGCAUGUGACCUCACAGACCCUCUUUAAGCUCUAUGAAGGAGGAAGUCUGUCUUUUUAACCUGGGAGUAGCGGAGAGGUUGGAGGCAGAUUGUGAACACGUGGGUCUCUGCUAACCUGGUCACGUGGGAGUGAACAAGCGGUCAGGGCAGGAUGUGAACACACGUAAAUAAAAGACUUUAAGCUUGCUUCUAGCUGUUCUUGAGUGUGCUGCCAGUUUUUAAACUACAGUUUAUGAAACUGUAGCCAGAGACCUCAGAACGAGUUGCUUAAUUGAUAUCUUGAGGACUUCAUGAGGCUCAUACUCGGACUCAGAUGCCAUAACUUUGACAAAUAUUUAAUAGAUAGAUAGAAAGACAUAUUUUAUUGUAUUUAUAAGCUGAGUGAGAUUAGCAAAUGAGAUCCAAAAAAGCAGAUGAAACUUUAAAUAAAAAGUUUAAUGGCUUUUAAAAACACCCCACAUAAUAUACCUAUGCUUAAAUAAAUACAAUCAUCAUUCAUUUUUUCCCUGUCUGCCCAUUGUUCUUCAUUAUUUUUAAAACUGUGGUUACUUCUACUCAUCCUCCCCCUUUUCUAGAUAGUUUCCUAUCUUGUAGAGAAAAUCGUAUCAAAACACACAUUCAUCUAAAGUGAUGGUGAUCCCUCUGUAAUAGACAUAGAACAAAACAGUAGUAGGAGGUACCUGAAAAUGCAUUUCUUUCUAUAGCAAUGGCUUUUUAAAUGCCCCAGAGUGGGCAGUAGAUCACAGAGAAUCACUUCUUAUCAAUAAUUUCAUUUUCAGAAAAAGACUGAAUAUACUUUCAUUUGUGGAAAACUUAAACUAGAAAUCAUCCCAUGUUCAAAAAGUACAGAAGUAUCUUGAUAUUUGUCAAUUGUUUUCAGAAGACAUGACAAGUUUUGAAAAGGAUGAGAACCAAACAAAAUUUUCUCCUAAGGAUUAUAUCUCCAAUCUGUACCCUGUUCCUCUUCACCCAAUUCUCCAAAGGGGCAAAUGGGGCUUCUAACUUGAGAGAAACAAGCAAGCCCAGCUCAGCCUAGCUGUACAAGUUUCUUUCUUUCUUUCUUUCUUUUUUUUAAUUAAAGCUUUUUAUUCACAAAA